rnacentral:misc_RNA from 1 species
AUAUAUAUACAUGUAUAUAUAUUUAUUUAUAAAAAAUUUGAUUGCACAUUUAAAAAAAAUAUGAAAAUAAAAUAUAAAUGCGCGUGCGUUGCGGCGAGUUGUAAAAUAGUAAGGAACCCAACCUUAUCUGAUAAAAUCGUGACAGACGUCAAGUGCGAUUCUGUUUCGUACUUGAUCAGUUAGAAACUCGAAUGAUUCGUUUGUUUGGAAAAGGAAAUACAAAAGAGACAAUGGCUGGACGUAAAAAAGCUGAUAGAUCGUCUAGAUCGGUAUCUAAAAAUACAAGACAACAUAAUUCAGAUGCAAUGUUUCCAUCAUUAUCAUCAUCCGACGAAGACGAUCAGCUGUCUGGAAGACGCGACAGAACCAUAACUCAGGAUCACCCAAGUAGAAAUCGCAUUGUUGAAAAUGAUCAACAGACAGGUCAAGAUGUUUCACGUCGUGAAGAAAAUCCAUUUAGUUUUAAACACUUUUUAAAAGGUGAAAGUCAAACUAAUUAUUACAAGACCGGUGCAAGGCCAAAGAUUUAUUCAUCAUCUGCUACGAGUCCUAACAAUGUUGAAAAAGACACCGGUGGUGUAUAUUCUAGAAAUCCAACUGAACUACCUGAUUUUGUACAAGAUCAUUUAGUCAUAGAACAAUGCUACUUAAAUCAUGUAUUUGCUCAACCAACUAUACCUGAAGUUGAUAAUCUACCUGAUUUUGCAUUGAACAGUGUAGAACAAAGGCAACCACGGCAAAGAAAUGAUUCGAAAAAGACACAACCACAAUUAUUGCCAGAUAUUCCUUUUGAUCUUACUGGUUCGAUAGACAAAGCUAUAUCUCAUAAUGAUUAUUUUCUUUCUAAUGCUACCUGUUCGAAUAGCAUCAAUAUACCUGUAUUCAACGCUGUUGAUAACAUUGUUGAGACAUCUGAGUCAGCAUCAGACUCUGGUGAACCAGAAGUUAGUAAUAAUGUUGUUACUAGAGAUUGCACGCCUACAACUGAUUCAAACUUACCAAAAUUAUUACCAGAUUUUUUAAAUGAUGGCCCAAUUCAUAGUAGAACGAAUCUUUCCAAUGAUAUUGGAUCUAAUUCGCAACCUAAUAUGGUAGAAUCAACAGAACGAAGGCUUUUAUUAGAAAAUGAUAGGCUAAGGCAAGAAUUGGACUCGGCUCAUAGAAAAAUUAAUGAAAAAUCAAUUAGAAUUGUAAUGUUAGAAGCAGAAUUGGCUUCUAGAAAAGAAGUGGAUUACGAAGAAACUGCACAUCUUGAAAAAGCGGUGGAACAAGUUGAAGAUAAUUUAAAACGUAGUACGAAAAGAGCGCUUAGCGCAGAAAAUACAGUAACAUCGUUAAAAAAAGAAAUUAGGACAUUAACGAGCUAUCGUCAUUACGAUUGGAAAAUAAGAAACUUAGAUCUGCCAUUAAUGAUAACAAAAAGAACGAAUGUGAUGAAUCUUCUGAGAACAUAGAUAGAACUGUACGAAGACUUGCAGGUGAAUUAAGGACUGCUGCAUCAACGGCUGAAAUCUCAUUGAGACAAUUGAUGUCUGGAGUGGAGAAUCUAAGGGUACUUGCAUCUACCCUUGAAAAUGUGGACAGAAUAGAA